rnacentral:rRNA from 1 species
GAGUCUGAUCAUGGCUCAGAACGUACGCUGGCGGCACGCCUAACACAUGCAAGUCGAACGAAGUAGCAAUACUUAGUGGCAGACGGGUGAGUAACAUGUAGGUAUCUGCCCUUUGGCCUGGAAUAACACGAGGAAACUUGUGCUAAUACCGGAUAAGUCUUUACGGAGAAAGCUUUAUGCACCAUUGGAUGAGCCUGCACUUGAUUAGUUUGUUGGUGGGGUAAUGGCCUACCAAGACUGUGAUCAAUAGCUGAUUUGAGAGGAUGAUCAGCCAUAUUGGGACUGAGACACGGCCCAAACUCCUACGGGAGGCAGCAGUGGGGAAUCUUGCACAAUGGAGGAAACUCUGAUGCAGCGAUGCCGCGUGAGUGAAGAAGGCCUUUGGGUUGUAAAGCUCUUUCGUCGGGGAAGAAAAUGACUGUACCCGAAUAAGAAGGUCCGGAUAACUUCGUGCCAGCAGCCGCGGUAAUACGAAGGGACCUAGCGUAGUUCGGAAUUACUGGGCUUAAAGAGUUCGUAGGUGGUUGAAAAAGUUAGUGGUGAAAUCCCAGAGCUUAACUCUGGAACUGCCAUUAAAACUUUUCAGCUAGAGUAUGAUAGAGGAAAGCAGAAUUUCUAGUGUAGAGGUGAAAUUCGUAGAUAUUAGAAAGAAUACCAAUUGCGAAGGCAGCUUUCUGGAUCAUUACUGACACUGAGGAACGAAAGCAUGGGUAGCGAAGAGGAUUAGAUACCCUCGUAGUCCAUGCCGUAAACGAUGUGUGUUAGACGUUGGAAAUUUAUUUUCAGUGUCGCAGGAAACCGAUAAACACACCGCCUGGGGAGUACGACCGCAAGGUUAAACUCAAUGAUUGACGGGA